AGCGGUCAGGUCACGGCGGACGAACUUGAGACAACGCAGGCCGUGCUGAAAUCCUGAGGUCGGGGGUUCGAGUCCCUCCCCGCUACCA
rnacentral:tRNA from 1 species